UGGAGGAGAGGAAAGAUCGUGUAGUUGAAGGACCUGUGUGAUGCUGUGGAGGAGGCGGGGCUGAGCUGGAGGAGACAUGUCACCCCAGAUGAAGUAUAAUGCCACCUCCUGGCGAAGUGGGGAAACCCACGAAACAACGUCCGUUGAGGGUGCACGGGGUCCCUGGAUGGCCACUAGUUGUAUGCCUACCACAGGUUAAUUGGCUUUGAAGUCUUUUAAAGGAUGUGGCGGUAGGAAAAAUAAAUAGGGUUCUUCAAAUUUCAAGUUUCACCCUUUCAAGGACAUCUACAUCAGGAACAGCAAUCUACUUGAAGAAAGGCUGGCUGUGACCCUUAGGUCGAAAAUCCCUCUUGAAUACAUCUGUAAUGACCUACAAUAGUUGCUACA